AUGCAAUUACAACCUAUCUUUGCUCAGUGGGUACAAAAUAUCCAUGCUACUGCGCCUGGCGUAACAGCUCCUGGUGCAACAACAAGUACUAGCUUAACGUGGGGAGGCGGCGAGUUAGUAGCAGUAGGUGGCAAAGUGGCUUUGUUACAUAUUCCAUUAGGAACCGAAGAUUUUUUAGUCCAUCACAUUCAUGCAUUUACCAUACAUGUGAUUGUAUUAAUACUUUUGAAAGGUGUUUUAUUUGCUCGGUGUUCCCGUUUGAUACCCGAUAAAGCAAAUCUAGGUUUUCGCUUUCCUUGCGAUGGGCCUGGCCGAGGGGGAACAUGUCAAGUAUCCGCCUGGGAUCAUGUUUUCUUAGGUUUAUUCUGGAUGUACAAUGCAAUUUCGGUAGUCAUUUUCCAUUUCAGUUGGAAAAUGCAGUCGGAUGUUUGGGGUACUAUAAGUGAUCAAGGGGUGGUAACUCAUAUUACAGGGGAAACUUUGCACAGAGUUCCAUUACGAUUAAUGGGUGGCUUCGAGAUUUCUUGUGGGCACAGGCAUCGCAAGUCAUUCAGUCUUAUGGUUCUUCAUUAUCUGCUUAUGGUCUUUUUUUUUCUUAGGUGCUCAUUUUGUCUGGGCCUUCAGUUUAUUUUUUUAUUCAGCAGCUGUGGUUAUUGGCAAGAACUCACUGAAUCUAUCGUUUGGGCUCAUAACAAAUUAAAAGUUGCUCCUGUUACUCAGCAUAGAGCCUUGGGCAUUAUACAAGGACGCGCUGUAGGAGUAACCCAUUACCUUCUGGGUGGAAUUGCCACGACAUGGGCAUUCUUCUUAGCGAGAAUUAUUGCAGUAAGAUAG
rnacentral:rRNA from 1 species